rfam:Eucalyptus grandis cultivar BRASTZ1 unplaced genomic scaffold scaffold_5, whole genome shotgun sequence.
UGGCCUGUGAUGAGAUCAGUUGAAAAAAUACCAUCUUUCGGGACUGAAUGGCUUGUCAAAGCCUUGCUGUCAUUCCGCAAAUUCUGAGGCCU